CGCUGCGUUCAUGAACACAGUGUCCUGUUCACGGAUUUUGCCAUUCACAGGGAUCACAGGAACAUAUCCCCUGUGAAUGGCGAGGUUCACCUGUAUUAGUAAGUGGAAAGACACUUUACACACAGAAUUUCUACAUUGUUUGAAUAAUUUCUUUGUCAAAGGCAUCUAGGAUAUAAGUGCAGGUUCUGUUCUAAAACACUUGGAAGGCUGAGGAAGGGAGAGUGAGGCUGAGAGGCACAAAUAGCUUUUAUUCUUAUCUAAAAUGUAACUUUUUUUUUCUUCUGCAUCUACUUAGACCAGUAUGUGCUAUGGGUAGAGGGUCAAGAACUAAUUUAGUUAAAAUCAGAAAUGGCCUCAGUCAUCACUAAUACUCAAACCUGUUUUCACAUUGUUAAUGUUUGAAUUAUUUUUCUCUUUCCUGAACUUUGUGGUUCCAGGGGUGAAUAGGAAUGGAAAUACCACAAGAAAAGCAGUUCUAAUUAUCUUUCUAACCCAACCAAAUGCAAGAUACACUUGAAAUCUCAUGGUAAAACUGCAUCAUUAGGUUUCCAGCCCAGUUUUACAAGCUUAAGGGGUUUGUAAUAGAAUGUUAAAACGAGCAGACAAAGUUCUGGGAUGCUGUUUCACUGAGACCUCAUACGCUUUUGAAACUUACUCAUUGUCUCUACAGCUACUUUUUGCUAGAAAUGUAAUUUGCAUCCUUGGGCCACUAUGUGAUUAAGGUGGCUAGUUGACCAAUUGGUUGUUAACUUUUUCAUCACUAAAAGGAUAUGUGCUGUUUUGUACAUAUGUGUGUAUGUAUGCUGCAGUAUUUUAAAGAAAAAUCUGUUGGAUGUAGUCCUAGAAUACAUCUCUUCCUUUGCAUGAAUGGAAGGAACUGUUAGCACUAAAGUACCACUUUACACUCAUUCCAACUGACUGUUAAAGGAAAGAAAUGUGAGAAUCAGGUUUGUUUUUCACUUUAAGCUAGCAGAAGUGUUCUUAACUCAUUAACAUGUCUGAUGAGAAAUCUGGCAGUCAACUGACUGACUAAGAAAACCAUCUGACAAAAUUCUCUAGAGACAUCAUUUCAUUUAGUAAUCUCUUAUGGACUAAUUAAUAUUUUCAUGUAUACUUCAAAAUCUUAGGGUGUUAAAAGGCUGUGUACUUGUUCAUAUACUGUAUCAAUAACUAUUGCAUUACUGCAGCUUCGGCAUGUGGUAUGAAAAUCUGUGUGCGUGUCAACUUGAUAAUAUGACACUGAUGAUAUUAAAAGCUAAUUAUAAAUGCCACUCAACUGUAUGGUAGAAUGAAUAGCCCGAGACCACUCAAGAUGUCUAUUCUUUAACUGGUUAAUUUCUUCUCAACUCAGAACCCAAUUUCAGAGUGCAUAUCUGUUUUGGAUAGUACCUAGGCAUAUUAGAUACUUAAGGGAUUUCCUGUAUUGGGUUCCAGAAGCUGGAGGAAUUUUGUUUAAACUAAUGAUAGUAUUUCCCUAAACCACCAGGAUGACACUUUCACAUAGGCAGGACUUAAAAGUGUCCACAUUCAGGAAGAUGGGGAAAAAAAUGUAUUUCCAAGGAAGAAAGAACCAUACAUCCCAACAAACCCCUUUUGCUCCCAAGGAAGCUGGAACAAAAUUACUGAAGAAUUUAUCCCCCUAGAUGAGAAUAUCAGCUCAGUUCAAAUGUAGAUUGCACUACUUACAAAAUAAAUCUUGUCCUUGAUUAUACAGAGUAGCAUUCCCUCUUGCAUUUCUACUUGGAGACUGUCUCGAUUUUGCAGCCCUCUCUCUAAUGAAAAUAUAAAUGAAAUGGCCAAAGUAGUCUUGUUUUCAGAGUGUUUGUACAGUAGAACAAUUUACAUAUUGUCAGAGACUCCAGCUUAUAAUUUGAUUUCUGUGAUCCUGUGCAGGUCAAUGCUAGUGGUGUCUGCCUCUGAGUAUUGUGAGGGGGUGGGGAAGUGACUUCAAAUCACAGGAAUAUAUAUUCUCUAUAUGUGAUGAAUUUGUGCCUUUAACUAGUGUUUUCUCAAGUGCCUCUGUGGUUUCUGUAUCAGUUGGUUCCUUCUUCAGUCCCCUUUUCAGUAGGCUCUUCAGAUAUUUUUAUCUGUCAGCUGUGAACGUUUUUUAAAACAAACUCGAAUCAGUAAAUAUUGUCUCCUUGCA